rnacentral:rRNA from 1 species
AGAGCGAACGCUGGCGGCAUGCUUAACACAUGCAAGUCUCACGGGCAGCAAUGUCAGUGGCGGACGGGUGAGUAACGCGUAGGUAUCUAUCCUUGGGUGGGGGAUAACGUUGGGAAACUGACGCUAAUACCGCAUGACACCUGUGGGUCAAAGGCGCGAGUCGCCUGGGGAGGAGCCUGCGUACGAUUAGCUUGUUGGUGGGGUAAAGGCCUACCAAGGCUACGAUCGUUAGCUGGUCUGAGAGGAUGAUCAGCCACACUGGGACUGAGACACGGCCCAGACUCCUACGGGAGGCAGCAGUGGGGAAUAUUGGACAAUGGGCGAAAGCCUGAUCCAGCAAUGCCGCGUGUGUGAAGAAGGUCUUCGGAUUGUAAAGCACUUUCGGCGGGACGAUGAUGACGGUACCCGCAGAGAAGCCCCGGCUAACUUCGUGCCAGCAGCCGC